AUCACAGGGGGAGCUCCUCAAAAUCUACAAUUCUGCCAGGUUCUCACCCUAAGAUGCUCAGUCCAGAAGAACUCCAGAAAAUUCAGACAAUAGAGAUAAGCAGAAAGGGGGAAAAAGGCACUGGUAGUCCUCCCACUCGAAGACUUAGCUCCAAGAGCGCCCGACAGCUCCUGCUUCCCAGCAGUCACAGCCUUGUGUUGCACCCUCCCACAUGCGGUCAGGGAUGGCUGAUGGUAUAUGAUGAACGUGACCAAAGGUAACUUCUGAGGCUAGAUCAUGAAUGACACUGCAGCUUCCACCUAUAACCAGGGUUUUCAACAGCCAUGC
rnacentral:lncRNA from 1 species